GUGUCAGCAGCCGCGGUAAUACGUAGGGUCCGAGCGUUAAUCGGAAUUACUGGGCGUAAAGCGUGCGCAGGCGGUUUUGUAAGCCAGAUGUGAAAGCCCCGGGCUUAACCUGGGAAUGGCAUUUGGGACUGCAAGGCUGGAGUACGGCAGAGGGAGGUGGAAUUCCAGGUGUAGCAGUGAAAUGCGUAGAUAUCUGGAGGAACACCGAUGGCGAAGGCAGCCUCCUGGGCUAGUACUGACGCUCAUGCACGAAAGCGUGGGGAGCAAACAGGAUUAGAUACCCCCGUAGUCC
rnacentral:rRNA from 1 species